UACGAAGGGGGCUAGCGUUGUUCGGAUUUACUGGGCGUAAAGCGCACGUAGGCGGCUUGGUCAGUUAGGGGUGAAAUCCCAGAGCUCAACUCUGGAACUGCCCUUAAUACUGCCAGUCUAGAGUCCGGAAGAGGUGAGUGGAACUCCUAGUGUAGAGGUGGAAUUCGUAGAUAUUAGGAAGAACACCAGUGGCGAAGGCGGCUCACUGGUCCGGUACUGACGCUGAGGUGCGAAAGCGUGGGGAGCAAACAGG
rnacentral:rRNA from 1 species